CAGUAGCCACGGUAAUACAGAGGGUGCGAGCGUUAAUCGGAUUUACUGGGCGUAAAGCGUGCGUAGGCGGCUAAUUGAGUCGGAUGUGAAAUCCCCGAGCUUAACUUGGGAAUUGCAUUCGAUACUGGUUAGCUAGAGUGUGGGAGAGGAUGGUAGAAUUCCAGGUGUAGCGGUGAAAUGCGUAGAGAUCUGGAGGAAUACCGAUGGCGAAGGCAGCCAUCUGGCCUAACACUGACGCUGAGGUACGAAAGCAUGGGGAGCAAACAGGAUUAGAGACCCCAGUAGUCCCUGUCUCUUAUCU
rnacentral:rRNA from 1 species